CCUCCUACCUUAGCCUCCCCAGCAGCUGGGACUAUAGGCACACGCCACCACACCUGGCCUCAUUGGACUUUUAAAGCAAAAUCCAUGAAAUCCAGAUGUGGAUAUAACAUCUGGCAGGCAGCAAGACCAGCGCCUGCCAAGAACAGCAUCUCCCCAGCCCUCAUCCUAUGGUGAGGUCACUGUUCUAUGUUUCCACGGCAACCACAGGCUGGGAAGAUGGAGAAGAGGAGAGAUGAGUAACCAGAAGCCAGCCAAUGAGAUGAGCUGCAGCACCGGAUGAUCCAUGGGGCCAUGGGGAGCGGGGACAAGGGAGGCCUGCUCAGCAUGUUCAGCUGUUUCCUGGACCCUCCCUGCCAUCUGGAUGCCUCCACUAGAGAAUGUGCUACUAGCACCAGGAAAGAGCUAGAGGCUGAAGAAGCUGAGUAGAAGCUCUGCUGACCCAAGAACAUGGCCCUCCUUUUUUGCCUCUUCAGGGUCUAAGUCUAUGGUUGCUGACUACCCCCGCCCCAUCCCACCCCUAAUAUCUGCAACUGGGAACUUUUCCCAUUUGCUGGGAAUGAUGGUGGGGCUCUUUCUGCCUCUGCCUGCCAUAGAACCAGCAAGUCUUAGACAUCCCUUCUUUUUAUGCCCUUGGUCCAUGGGGUCUUUGUUACCAGAAAGGGGUCCCAAUCCAGACCCCAAGAGAGAGUUCUUGCAUCUCACACAAGAAAGAAUUCGGGGCAAAUCCGCAGAAUAAAGUAAAAGCAAGUUUAUUAGAGAAGUAAA